AACGAACGCUGGCGGCAUGCCUAACACAUGCAAGUCGAACGAGACCUUCGGGUCUAGUGGCGCACGGGUGCGUAACGCGUGGGAACCUGCCCUUAGGUUCGCAAUAACUCCCCGAAAGGGGUGCUAAUACCGGAUAAUGUCUUCGGACCAACGAUUUAUCGCCUUUGGUUGGGCCCGCGUUGGAUUAGCUAGUUGGUAGGGUAAAAGCCUACCAAGGCGACGAUCCAUAGCUGGUCUGAGAGGAUGAUCAGCCACACUGGGGCUGAGACACGGCCCAGACUCCUACGGGAGGGAGCAGUGGGGAAUAUUGGACAAUGGGCGAAAGCCUGAUCCAGCAAUGCCGCGUGAGUGAUGAAGGCCUUAGGGUUGUAAAGCUCUUUUACCCGGGAUGAUAAUGACGGUACCGGGAGAAUAAGCUCCGGCUAACUCCGUG
rnacentral:rRNA from 1 species